CUUGCAGGGUUACAGGUGCCUGCAGUCGGUGGGCUAGAGGUGGAGUAAAACCUGGACAGGGGCUGCUGAUAAGCCAUGUAUGCAGGGGAAAAACAUUCAAACUCAAUGCAGAGAGAUUCCAGCAAGGACCUUAUCGCUGGAAGGCAACAGUGGAACAGAUGCACACAUGAACACUGUUCAGUCAAAUGUAGUUUCUUCUAAGUAGGAUAUAUGUUACAGUUUUAAGCUGCUCUAUGUUUACAGCCUCCACUAAAUACAUCCAUUCUUCAACCUCCACCGGUUCAGCUCAUUGCCUUCACCUGUGCGUGUCUAUGUUUAUCUCACCUGUUGUCUCUGUUUCACUGAAGUAUUAUCUGUUGCCACCAUGUCACAGCAGUCCAGCUUGUAUCUUCUGCAUAUUCUGCUUCUGGGGUUUUCAGUCUCCAAACAUAUCCUGGCAUCGUGUGAGUUUGACUCUCCUGUUCUGCUAAUGGAUUUUUGAACUGGUAAUAUAAGGUAAUUCUUGUUAUUUCUUUUGUUUUACUAUGAAAACUGGACUUGCUUCCCAGUGUGUUACCAAUUACUUGUCUGGAUCUUCUGCUCCCAGCUAUGCGACCCCCUGCCUUCCCAUUGGUAACAACUGGAUUUAUACAGGAUAUUACCACCUGUAUGAUUGCUCAGACCAUGUCCUUUCAAUAAGUAUCGCUUGUCCAAUCUGGUCACCCAUCAUACUCCUCCAUCUUGUCUACAAGCUUUGAGUAACCACCACUAUACUUCAGUGUCACCUCCUCAGCUUUGUUGAUUUCUGCCACUUAUUCAAAUCAACUUUUGAAAUCUCUCUCUGUUGUGUCGCUUAUAUGGUUCUUCUAAUUUGAUAUUUUUAUUAUUUCUGACAGAGCUGACUUGAGGAUGAAUGAAGCCAUAGAAGAAACUUAGUUUGGGGGCCAAGAGCCCCACUGACCUCCCUUAUUAUAUGGUCCGUUCAUGAUCAUUUAUGCAUUUGGCAUUUAACUCAACUCGGUUAUCUUAAGUAAAUAAAGUUGAGCUCAGAAGACAACAGAGUGCCUAACUAAUUUAGUUCCUAUUCUUUAACUCCAUUCAUUGUCUUUACCUGCUUAUCCUUGGAGGGUUGUGGGGGGCUGGUGACUGUCAGGCAAACAGCAGGGUACACACAGGACAGGUCGCCAGUCAAUCGCAGGGACACAGAGAGACAUCCAUGACAAAAAUCAUGUAAACACACAUUCAUAACCAAGGGCAAUUUAGAGAGACAACUGAACCUAACAGCGUUAUUUUUGAACUGCAGCAGGAGCCUGGAGUACCUGGAGCGAACCCACAUGGACGGGGAUAACAUGUAAACUCCAUGCAGAAAUAGCCCAUGCUGGUAUUAAACCCAGGACCUUCUGCUGCAAGGCAACAGUGCUUUUUCUUUGUGGUUCAGAGGUGAUGACCUGUGACUUUCUCCAGAUCCUUUCUACUGUAGACCAAAAGUUAGCUUUGCCUGGAGGUUACCGAUUGACCCUGCUUCACCUGAGUGGAUAUGCCAGAGCUUUUACCCGCCUCACAGAGGCAGAGCGGGUCUUUUGAUAUAAAUCCACCUUGAGGCUGCAACCUAACCACUAGUUAAAAAGAGUUCAUAAUGCAACACAAGCUGACACCACUGAGCAGAGAUUAUUCCAAAAAAGGAGCAUUGUUAGGAGCACAUCAGUGUACGCUUAGAGUCUUACUGAAUAAUUCCCGUUCAGCUACCUGGGAUUCAUCCCAUAUCCCCCUCUCUGAGACACCAAAAGA